GAUUAACGCUAGCGGCAGGCAAAUACAUGCAAGUUGAACGAGAUAAGUUUUAGCAAUAGAACUUUGAAAGUGGCGCACGGGUGCGUAACACGUAUGCAACCUACCUUUUACUGGGGAAUAGCCUCUCGAAAGAGAGAUUAAUACCCCAUAAUAUAUUGAUAAGGCAUCUUAUUAAUAUUAAAGUUACGGCGGUAAAAGAUGGGCAUGCGGCUGAUUAGGUAGUUGGUGAGGUAAUGGCUCACCAAGCCGACGAUCAGUAGGGGGUCUGGGAGGAUGUCCCCCCACACUGGUAAUGAGACACGGACCAGACUCCUACGGGAGGCAGCAGUAGGGAAUAUUGGACAAUGGGCGCAAGCCUGAUCCAGCCUUGCCGCGUGCAGGAUGAAGGCCCUAUGGGUCGUAAACUGCUUUUGUACGGGAAGAAACCUCACUACGUGUAGUGAGUUGACGGUACCGUGAGAAUAGGGAUCGGCUAACUUCGUGCCAGCCGCCGCAGUAA
rnacentral:rRNA from 1 species